rnacentral:rRNA from 1 species
GACGAACGCUGGCGGCGCGCCUAACACAUGCAAGUCGAACGAGAGAUGAGGAGCUUGCUCUUCAAAUCGAGUGGCGAACGGGUGAGUAACGCGUGAGGAACCUGCCUCAAAGAGGGGGACAACAGUUGGAAACGACUGCUAAUACCGCAUAAGCCCACAGCUCGGCAUCGAGCAGAGGGAAAAGGAGCAAUCCGCUUUGAGAUGGCCUCGCGUCCGAUUAGCUGGUUGGUGAGGUAACGGCCCACCAAGGCGACGAUCGGUAGCCGGACUGAGAGGUUGAACGGCCACAUUGGGACUGAGACACGGCCCAGACUCCUACGGGAGGCAGCAGUGGGGAAUAUUGCACAAUGGGGGAAACCCUGAUGCAGCGACGCCGCGUGGAGGAAGAAGGUCUUCGGAUUGUAAACUCCUGUUGUUGAGGAAGAUAAUGACGGUACUCAA